rnacentral:rRNA from 1 species
UACGUAGGGCGCAAGCGUUGUCCGGAAUUAUUGGGCGUAAAGAGCUCGUAGGCGGCUUGUCACGUCGAUUGUGAAAGCCCCGAGGCUUAACCUCGGGUCUGCAGUCGAUACGGGCUAGCUAGAGUGUGGUAGGGGAGAUCGGAAUUCCUGGUGUAGCGGUGAAAUGCGCAGAUAUCAGGAGGAACACCGGUGGCGAAGGCGGAUCUCUGGGCCAUUACUGACGCUGAGGAGCGAAAGCCGUGGGGAGCGAACAGG